UACGUAGGGGGCUAGCGUUGUCCGGAUUUAUUGGGCGUAAAGGGCGCGUAGGCGGCAUGGCAAGUGGAUGGUGAAAUCCCUCGGCUUAACCGAGGAACUGCCGUCCAAACUGCUUCGCUUGAGACCGGGAGAGGUGAGUGGAAUUCCCAGUGUAGCGGUGAAAUGCGUAGAUAUUGGGAGGAACACCAGUGGCGAAGGCGGCUCACUGGACCGGUACUGACGCUGAAGCGCGAAAGCGUGGGGAGCAAACGGG
rnacentral:rRNA from 1 species